GAUUGACCUCGGAUCAGGUAGGGAUACCCGCUGAACUUAAGCAUAUCAAUAAGCGGAGGAAAAGAAACCAACAGGGAUUGCCUCAGUAACGGCGAGUGAAGCGGCAACAGCUCAAAUUUGAAAUCUGGCCUCCUUCGGGGUCCGAGUUGUAAUUUGUAGAGGAUGUUUCGGGAGAGGCGCCGGUCUAAGUCCCUUAGAACAGGGUGUCGUAGAGGGUGAGAAUCCCGUAUGUGACUGGCGACCAAUCCCAUAUGAAACCCCUUCGACGAGUCGAGUUGUUUGGGAAUGCAGCUCAAAAUGGGUGGUAAAUUUCAUCUAAAGCUAAAUACCGGCCAGAGACCGAUAGCGCACAAGUAGAGUGAUCGAAAGAUGAAAAGCACUUUGGAAAGAGAGUCAAAAAGUACGUGAAAUUGUUGAAAGGGAAGCGCUUGCAACCAGACCUGUGCGUAGGCGAUCAACCUCUGUUCUCAGUGGUGCACUCGUCUUCGAUCAGGCCAGCAUCGGUUCGGGGGGCGGGAUAAAGGCCUUGGGAAUGUAGCUCCCCUCGGGGAGUGUUAUAGCCCUCGGUGCAAUGCCGCCAGCCCGGACCGAGGACCGCGCUUCGGCUAGGAUGCUGGCGUAAUGGUUGUAAGCGACCCGUCUUGAAACACGGACCAAGGAGUCUAACAUCUAUGCAAGUGUUUGGGUGUCAAACCCAUGCGCGUAAUGAAAGUGAACGGAGGUGAGAACCCCGAAGGGCGCAUCAUCGACCGAUCCAGAUGUCUUCGGAUGGAUUUGAGUACGAGCAUAGCUGUUGGGACCCGAAAGAUGGUGAACUAUGCCUGAAUAGGGUGAAGCCAGAGGAAACUCUGGUGGAGGCUCGCAGCGGUUCUGACGUGCAAAUCGAUCGUCAAAUUUGGGUAUAGGGGCGAAAGACUAAUCGAACCAUCUAGUAGCUGGUUCCUGCCGAAGUUUCCCUCAGGA
rnacentral:rRNA from 1 species